rnacentral:rRNA from 1 species
AAAGUCUGACCGAGCAACGCCGCGUGAGUGAAGAAGGUUUUCGGAUCGUAAAGCUCUGUUGUAAGUCAAGAACGUGUGUGAGAGUGGUAAGUUCACACAGUGACGGUAGCUUACCAGAAAGGGACGGCUAACUACGUGCCAGCAGCCGCGGUAAUACGUAGGUCCCGAGCGUUGUCCGGAUUUAUUGGGCGUAAAGGGAGCGCAGGCGGUCAGGAAAGUCUGGAGUAAAAGGCUAUGGCUCAACCAUAGUGUGCUCUGGAAACUGUCUGACUUGAGUGCAGAAGGGGAGAGUGGAAUUCCAUGUGUAGCGGUGAAAUGCGUAGAUAUAUGGAGGAACACCAGUGGCGAAAGCGGCUCUCUGGUCUGUCACUGACGCUGAGGCUCGAAAGCGUGGGUAGCGAACAGGAUUAGAUACCCUGGUAGUCCACGCCGAAAACGAUGAGUGCUAGGUGUUAGGCCCUUUCCGGGGCUUAGUGCCGGAGCUAACGCAAUAAGCACUCCGCCUGGGGAGUACGACCGCAAGGUUGAAACUCAAAGGAAUUGACGGGGGCCCGCACAAGCGGUGGAGCAUGUGGUUUAAUUCGAAGCAACGCGAAGAACCUUACCAGGUCUUGACAUCCCGAUGGUAUUCUUAGAGAUAGGAAGU